rnacentral:rRNA from 1 species
ACGCUGCCGGUGCCUAAUACAUGCAAGUAGAACCAAGGGAGCUUGCUUCUCUGGAUGAGUUGCGAACGGGUGAGUAACGCGUAGGUAACUGCCUGGUAGCGGGGGAUAACUAUUGGAACGAUAGCUUAAUACCGCAUAAUAUUGACUUAUUGCAUGAUAGUAAUUAAAAGGUGCAAUUGCACCACUUACCAGAUGGACCUGCGUUGUAUUAGCUAGUGGUGAGGUAACGGCUCACCAAGGCGACGAUACAUAGCCGACCUGAGAGGGUGAUCGGCCACACUGGGACUGAGACACGGCCCAGACUCCUACGGGAGGCAGCAGUAGGGAAUCUUCGGCAAUGGACGGAAGUCUGACCGAGCAACGCCGCGUGAGUGAAGAAGGUUUUCGGAUCGUAAAGCUCUGUUGUAAGAGAAGAACGAGUGUAGAGUGGAAAGUUCACACUGUGACGGUAUCUUACCAGAAAGG